rnacentral:rRNA from 1 species
CCUACGGGGGGCUGCAGUGGGGGAUAUUGCACAAUGGGGGGAACCCUGAUGCAGCGACGCCGCGUGGGUGAAGAAGCGCCUCGGCGCGUAAAGCCCUGUCAGCAGGGAAGAAAAUGACGGUACCUGAAGAAGAAGCCCCGGCUAACUACGUGCCAGCAGCCGCGGUAAUACGUAGGGGGCAAGCGUUAUCCGGAUUUACUGGGUGUAAAGGGGGCGCAGACGGCGAUGCAAGCCAGGAGUGAAAGCCCGGGGGCCAACCCCGGGACUGCUCUUGGAACUGCGUGGCUGGAGUGCAGGAGGGGCAGGCGGAAUUCCUGGUGUAGCGGUGAAAUGCGUAGAUAUCAGGAGGAACACCAGUGGCGAAGGCGGACUGCUGGACUGCAACUGACGUUGAGGCCCGAAAGCGUGGGGAGCAAACAGGAUUAGAUACCCUAGUAGUC